UCUGUGUCUUCCUGCUUCACAGGUGAUUGCAUCUGACGGGUGGGCGUGGUCCACACCUGCAGCGCAUCAGACACUUUCCUGGCUAGCAUUUAAGGAGGACACUGUGAGCAGGAAUACACCAGAGUUUUAACCCGAUGUGUGUUCUUGUUGGAUUACUUACAGUCUGCCGCCCAUGACUCGAUGACCAGCUCUGAAUCCAGUCUGCUCAGAUUCUGCUCUGGCAUUCCCCUCUUACUCACUUGGCGGUACCAAGUUGGGGGAGAGUUCCCGUUCCCCUGGAUUCUUUUGGUCUCCUGGACUGCUCUGGUUCUUCCUGCCGCUCCUCCUGUCUGCCAUACACAGUGACGUUGCUUGAGUUCUCCGUCAGUGUCUCCACUGCCAAACCAUCGGUCACUCAGUCACCUUGUUCCACCUCGGAGCCACGGUAACGAUACUCCUGACUACUCACCCUCCCUGGAUAGGUUCUCUCGGCCAAGCGAGUUCCCAGCUUCGAUGUUCUGACCUCUCAUGUUGUACAGUCUGCUACUUGCUGAGCCUUUAAAAUAAAC